UAAUACGGGGGGAGCAAGCGUUGUUCGGAUUUACUGGGCGUAAAGGGCGCGUAGGCGGUCAGCACAAGUCAGUUGUGAAAUCUCCGGGCUUAACUCGGAAAGGUCAACUGAUACUGUGCGACUAGAGUGCAGAAGGGGCAACUGGAAUUCUCGGUGUAGCGGUGAAAUGCGUAGAUAUCGAGAGGAACACCUGCGGCGAAGGCGGGUUGCUGGGCUGACACUGACGCUGAGGCGCGAAAGCCAGGGGAGCGAACGGGAUUAGAUACCCCGGUAGUCCUGGCCUUAAACGAUGGAUGCUUGGUGUCUGGAGUUAUAUAGUCUCCGGGUGCCGCAGCUAACGCGUUAAGCAUCCCGCCUGGGGAGUACGGUCGCAAGACU
rnacentral:rRNA from 1 species